ACCUGCCUUCGAGUGGGGGAUAACGUCCCGAAAGGGACGCUAAUACCGCAUAACAUCCUGCCUUUGAACAGGCGGUGAUCAAAGCUGGGGACCGCAAGGCCUAGCGCUGGAAGAGGGGCCCGCGCCUGAUUAGCUAGUUGGUGAGGUAACGGCUCACCAAGGCGACGAUCAGUAUCCGGCCUGAGAGGGCGGACGGACACACUGGGACUGAGACACGGCCCAG
rnacentral:rRNA from 1 species